AUAUAUUAAUCACAAU
rnacentral:sRNA from 1 species